GAUUUAUCUGUAGCUUACUGUAUUAGUGUGAAAACUUGUUUAUUACUCAUUGUUUUAGCAUAUUAGUUAAGGAUAAAUCAUCUUUCUUAAUUAAACUGGGCUCAUUGAUUGGUUGCACCACAAUAUGUGUUAUUAGCCAGUCCUUUUGACAGUACUUUAGAUUAAUCUUGUUGAUGUUUGAAAGGCAUGGUCAGUGGUUUGCCUUCUGGACUGAUGAGGCCAGAAACUUGCUCCAAGCAACUCUUCAGCCAGUGUACAGAGUGCUAUCUCAGAGGAGAUCCACAUCCAGGCUGUCGAUGAGCACACUGCAGAGCUAAAGAGACUGCUGGACCUCAUUGGGAAGAUACGGGGAUCUGAGGAGCAUUUAGUGGUACUUAAACAAUGUUCACAUUUAAUCAUCAUUACAAACAAACUCAUAGUAAGUGCCUUAAUUAGGAAUAACAUUAACAAUAUCUUUUAACUAUGCUGCAAAUUAUUGUAUCUUUAUCUUAAAUGUAUCAAUUUCCUUAAAAUAACAGUUUUUGCACCAUGGUUUGCCCAUAGGGUGUACUCAACGGGAAGCCCUCUAAGUGGUCUCAUAAGCUAACCUCCGCCCGAGUGUCUGUCUACCUCGACGGUGAGGAACAACUGUCCUGUUUGCCUAUCUGAGAGGAGUGCUGCAUAGGACACCAACACAACUGAGCUUCACAGAUGAAGUGCAGAUGUAUGCCGGACCAUGUAAUGUGUUUGCCAUCAUAUAUGCCCUGGCUGUCCUACGGAAUUUCUCAUUGCAGGAGGCUGAGCAGGUCUUCCUUUCUGGUCCAGAUUAUCAUUACAGGAGUUGAAGCCUACAGCCUUUCUGUCCAUGCAGCA